UACGGGGGGGGCAAGCGUUGUUCGGAAUUACUGGGCGUAAAGGGCUCGUAGGCGGCCAACUAAGUCAGACGUGAAAUCCCUCGGCUUAACCGGGGAACUGCGUCUGAUACUGGAUGGCUUGAGGUUGGGAGAGGGAUGCGGAAUUCCAGGUGUAGCGGUGAAAUGCGUAGAUAUCUGGAGGAACACCGGUGGCGAAGGCGGGUCUCUGGGCCGUUACUGACGCUGAGGAGCGAAAGCGUGGGGAGCGAACAGG
rnacentral:rRNA from 1 species